AGCGGCGAAAGGGGCAGUAAGGCAUGGGUAACCUACCUUGGGGACUGGGAUAGCCCUUCGAGAGAAGGGGUAAUACCGGGCGACGUAGCGGGGCGGCAUCGCUCUGCUACCAAAUGAAUUUCGCCCUGAGAGGGGCCCAUGUGAUAUUAGCUAGUUGGUGAGGUAACGGCUCACCAAGGCGAAGAUGUCUAGCGGGUGUGAGAGCACGACCCGCGCCACUGGCACUGAGACACUGGCCAGACACCUACGGGUGGCUGCAGUCGAGGAUCUUCGGCAAUGAGCGAAAGCUUGACCGAGCGACGCCGCGUGUGCGAUGAAGGCCUUCGGGUUGUAAAGCACUGUCGAGAGGGAGAAAGGGAAACUUGAUCUAUCUCUGGAGGAAGCACGGGCUAAGUUCGUGCCAGCAGCCGCGGUAAGACGAACCGUGCGAACGUUGUUCGGAAUCACUGGGCUUAAAGGGCGCGUAGGCGGGCUGUCAAGUCUGGGGUGAAAUCCCUCGGCUCAACCGGAGAAUGGCCUCAGAUACUGACGGUCUUGAGGGGGAUAGGGGCAUGCGGAACUAGGGGUGGAGCGGUGAAAUGCGUUGAUAUCCUUAGGAACUCCGGUGGCGAAGGCGGCAUGCUGGAUCCCUUCUGACGCUGAGGCGCGAAAGCCAGGGGAGCAAACGGGAAUUAGAUACCCCGGUAGUCCUGGCCCUAAA
rnacentral:rRNA from 1 species